CAGCCCUCAGGGGUUCUUCAGGAGGAACUGCUCUGUGUGUAGGUGUAUGCAGAUUUAGGGAGCUCAGGGUCGUUCUACUUGUUCAGGUUAGAACUCUUACGUGUCAGCGUCUGAUUAGGUGUCAACACUGUAGAACUUACUACUCAAGAUACUAACCAGAGAAGAUAGUUAUAACCAGAGAAGAUAGUUAUAGCCCCUAAAGCUACUUAUACCAACUUGCCACCUAAUGUGGUCCCUUCAAAUCAAUUGACUAUGAACAAAGUAAUAAUCAAUUUUGGUGACAACCCAGCUUGAACAAGUAGACAAGUUAAGCUAACUUCUCAAUUUUUAUUUACAAAAGUACAGUAUCUGAAGGCAACAGGCAAUAGCAGGGGACUAGUCUUUAUACAGUCACAGCUUAGUAGUUGGGUCUCCUUUCUGGUCAAGGAGCUUCUCUAAUCGAUGGUUGAUAUUUUGCAGGUGGUUUUCAGCUCCCAAAAGGGCUCUCGCUGUCACUAACAGAGCUGGAAGGCUGGAUGAAUCAUACUGUUGAAGGAAAAUCAUAUUUAGAUUAUCAAGUUUAAAAAACUUCUAUAAUCUUAUUUGUUACACAGCUCAGUGUUAAGUAGAGCUUUGCAUUAACUUUUUUUUUUUCAAUUAGGAUCAUUAAAAAAAUUGGGUUAAUCCUUUUUCUUAGGGCAGAAGUAACAAGGUUAUAAGGGAACUGUUCUAGAAAGUGUAGGCUGGUCUCCUCUCAGAAGACCAGUUGGUUCCAAGAACGGCGGCAUCUAAACUAUUUAAAACAAAAUCAUUCCUCAUACAGAUUGAGACAGAGUUUGGGCAAGUCCGCUGACCUCAAGCCUAUUUUAAACCCAGAAAACUCUAAGGCAGCUGCACUUUUACUGGAAGAACUAUGGGAAGGGCAACACCAGGCCACAGAAGUUCAAGAGGAAAAAAGUCGUCACCCAGAAAAACCGAUGGGGAAGGUUAAAGGCAAAAUUAGGAUCUAACCCAACAUAAAAUAGAAAUCAAAUCGUGAGGCUGAGCUGCAUGCUGUAACCAUAGCUGAGGACAAGGGACUGUGCUCCCCCUGCAAGUGUGCUCACACUGAGGAUAAGGGUGUAAUUUCAUGUUUUCAAGGUGUUUUCCUUACUAUUGACAAGAGCAGCUUUCAGCAGAUUCCUACCACCACAUAAUCGGUUCUUUCUAGACUAUAACCUGUUACUACUCUGGACUCCAGUCAGAGACACUGAGAGCCUGAUGCAGCCCAGCUGGCAGGGCCACUUGCUCUCAGGCAGGCGACAGCAGGCGACAGGGGGGAGCACUGACACUUGGUGGAAGAUCUCUGGUUUAGGAGAGACGACAUGCACACAAAUACCAACUGCCGGAAAGGAAGACACUACCAGAGAGCACAGAAGGCCUGCGGGCACACAAAGAACACAUUAGAGUAGUGUACCCCACAAAGUCGAAUCCCGUCCAAACUCCAGCAGGGCCACGAACAUCUCUAGUCCCCAACCCCAAGUAAGCUUUAGACUAGUUGGCAAACUAGUCACAGAAAGCAUUCAUUGAGAAGAUCUAAUUUCUAUUUUCAGAUCUAAUACACAGACAAACUUAAGGCUUUUAAGCUAGUGGAAAAAACUUAAAAUUGAACAUAGGGAAGAAUAUAAAUAUGAUAAGAUACAUGUAUUUACAUUUCAUAUUAAGUUAUAUUCGUUUUUUUUCCUAUAAUUUAAAUUUCUAUUGAUCUGAGCUGGUUAGCCUAACAAUAGCAUCAUCUGCAGCAAAAAUCCAAAAGCCACAAGUUGUAUUAAAAUAACCCCACCUUUCCCUACUGUGUCCCUUCUGUGUGUCCCAACUUCUAAAAUUACACCUACCAGGUAAAGGGGAGAAUGGUUUUUUUCAGGUAAAAGAAAAGCUACCAUGAGCAAGGGUGGAACAAAAGAAAAGCCGUGUGGCCUUCCAGUGAUGAGUGUACGAAGCAAAGUGGUGUGAGCGCGGCAUACAGAGGACACCCCUCUCUUGCCCAGUCGUUUCUCUUAACGCGCAAAUAUGUUCAUAAAGUCAGCGUGUCCAGACCAUCCUCUAUUCCUCUAGCCUUAAGUAGCCUGAGCCGAUGGAUUCGCAGCGCUGCUGUGUGGGCAGACUGGAAUCUGCACCCACAUCUCUCCCCAGAGCUCCCGCGGAAGUACUCCACCGUGCAAAUGCCCUGAACCUUCUCAAUCACAGUGAAUUUUAAAAAUUGCAGUUACCGUUUCCUUUACGUGAGGUUCUUUCUCUCGAAUAGCUGAAUAAUCUUGAUGAAGCUGUUUCAGGUUAGAUAAGAAGCCUGCGGCAUCCCUAAGGGAAGAUUUUCUCUCCGUGAGUUCAUCAUGCUUUAUCUGGAGUUGCUUCAUCUGUGGUUCUAACCUGCAACACAAGAGUUUCCCCUAAAUGAAGGCCUCCAGGAAAGUGUAACAGCCUUGGGGGAAGAGGCCGAGUGUGCAAGGGAAGGGGCUAGGGCUUUGAAGAGGCCUUCAGUUAUGAAAUUAUGAAUGUGUGAUGGGGUCUAGAUUUCAAUUUAAAAUAUAGACAAAACUAGGGCAGCCCCGGUGGCUCAGCAGUUUAGCGCCACCUUCGGCCUGGGGUGUGAUCCUGGAGACCCCGGAUCGAGUUCCACGUGGCUCCCUGCAUGGAGCCUGCUACUCCCUCUGCCUGUGUCUCUGCCUCUCUCUGUCUCUAUUAAAAAAAAGAAAAAAAAAACUAAAUAUAGACAAAACUCUGAAAUAUGAUACAGAGUAAUUAGAAAUGAAACCCUGAGAAGAAAGAUGCCUCGCACAUCCUACAACCCAGUUGGCCAUUUAGAGGGACUCCAGGGAUCUCCAGCAUCUCCUGCAUGACAGCAACGUGGCCAGCUCCUCCCACCCUUGGGCGGGGACGUGGGCCCCCCCGGCAUAGCAGCGGAAGCACAGCAGGGCCUGGCCUUUGCCCAGUUCCCAACAUCUAGUAAAACCGGAGGAAAAACUUCCAGAGCGCCUGGGUGGAAAAUGCACGGCUCCUGGAAGCAGACGGCCGAGCCUUAUUUCUCCACUGCGUUCCCGCAGCCCUCAGCUCACACGGCAGGUGCCGGCCUCGGGAGGUGACCACGGGGACAGCCCGGGGGGACACCCCGGCCGCUCUCCAAGCCCCGCACGUGGCGAGGGCCUGCGCCAGCACCACACUGACAGCAACAACCCUGUGAGCUCUACAGGGCGCUCGCCGAACUUGGCGUGUUUACGCACUUGGUUCUCCAGCACCCGGCCGGUACGUGAGGCUCCCUGUUGGCAGGCGUGCUGGAGGCUGCUCCGCCGCUAGCACGGCCCCAAGGCGGCCUGGCCCAGAGCCUCUGCACGUGGCCACCAGCAGGUGGCGGGAGGUCAGCGCUCAGGGCUCCUCGGCCGACAGCUCCGGCUCGCAGCGCCUUCCCCAGCUGCCAGGCUCAGGGACGCCGGGAUGCGGGCCCAUGACAGACCCCAGGGGCCAGUGGCCGGGCCGUGGCUAAAUCCUUCCCAGCAAGUUCUGGGCGGUUCUGGCGUCACCUUACCGAAGCAGUUCAUUCUGGAGUUCAAGCAGAUGCUGCCUCUUCUUCUCAAUAUCGGAAAUAACCUAAAGUGACACGAGGAUUUGUUAAAAUCUCUCCUUAAAUCUGUGCGCGAUGCUUGCUCCCCGGAACCAGGUGUUAGAGAUGCGGUGGGAGACAGACUCCCCGCAGCCCCCAGAACUGGGCUCGGAGGGGCAGAGACCCGGCAUCACAGCGCAUGGGGCUGGGGGGCGAUGGGUGCUGCCGGGGGGAGCCGGGGACGGGACCGGUGGGAACGCAGGCAGUGGGGCCAGGGCUUCACCCCCCGUGAGCUGCCCAGGACGGCCUUGGCCGCUUCUGUAGGUGUGCCGGGAAAACACGAGGAGGACAGUGCCCUGAGCCAGCCCGUAUUUAUCAUCUUUUAGGGACGACCAGACGUCCCACAGCUGGACAUUCAGACUGUUCCCACUUGCUGGUAAGUAACGCAGAGGUGACCAGUAAGGAAUAAAACUGAAGGAAAAAGCCUGUAAUCACUGAAACAACAAUGUGUGCAUCGCAAAUCCACUGCUAUUAUAAAUGUCGAGGGGGAACUGCUCCUUCACGCCUGGAUUCAUGCAAGUUUACAGCUCGGAGGUCACCUGGGUCGCCCAUAAACUGAUGGGUGUUCACUGGCUUGUUUCUCCUCACAUAUCCUAGGGAUAUGUGAAGCAUUUCCAAGAAGAUGGUACAAGAUCGAAGUAGCGGAACCAGGGCAAGAAAUGUCCUUCACCCCACCCCUAACGCCGUAGUCUUCCCAUGCCGUCCCUUGACAUGGGACAGUUCUUAUUCUACAAGGUUUUACUCUUUGACAGUCAUAAAAGCCAUAAAUAUAUGUUACUUAACAA